CAUACUGUCAUUUUCUAAUCUCUGUUGACCGUCAGUGUAAUGCAUUUUUGUAAACAUCAUGCAAUAUAAAUUCUAAGGUUUACUUGCGUUCGAGUUGAAGGUAAACCUGUGUAUAUGUAUUUCUUAAAAUUAAUAACACUUAUUUCUUUACCAAAUCAUAAGUUGUUGCAUCCAUUAAUGAAAUAAUUUGAUUGUAAAUGUAUGUAAAAUACAUGUACAGACUGUAGUAGUGCUUGUCAAUUUGAAA